rfam:Ciona savignyi cont_32802, whole genome shotgun sequence.
ACUGGGUUGUCCGAGUGGUUAAGGCGUUGGACUUAAGUUCCAAUGGACAAGUGUCCGCGUGGGUUCGAACCCCACACCCAGUA